GGAAUGAUUGGAAUGAUGAGAAUGAUUUGUUCUAUAAUAUGAGUUUUCCAGAUAAGCGUGUAAACGUCAAAACAUUCGACAACAAAAACAGAAGCACUUUUGCGUGAUUGGUUCUCUCUGAUUCUUUUCGGCGAUUUAGACACAAAGAAAACCUACGGAGUGGCCAUCGUUUGUCAGUUCCAGCACGCAUUUAUUAGCGAGGGGCGGAUUUGCCUACGAGAGACUGCUGUCAACAAUCAUGGCCCACCUUACCGCACUCGCUACAGAUGAUAAAGAAGAGCCAACAACAACAUCACCGCCGUUAACGUCAACCCGGAUUCGACGCGUUACCCCAAACUGAGCAAUCAAAACGGUAUCCGAACUGGUAUUGAUCUUCGUUGCGAUUUUAAUUUUUCAACACUUCCCUGUCAUUCAUUGUCCCACCUGUCCCCAUUCAUCCCACAUGUAUCUAUUCACUUGCAGUUAUCUGUUUAAAAUCCCAAUCAAAUGCAUAGAACAGCAGAACGGCUCCCGACUACGCUCGCUGAAUAAAUCCCAAUGACGAAGACCACCAGGUCAGUUCGUCCGUACGAAAAAAUUUGCCUUCCAGGACAAAGUGCAAAAUAAUGGCGAUUCUUUUCUUGAGAAGGUAGUUUAUUUCUUUUAAUAUAAAUAUAAAACUAACCUCUUUCGAGGGUUCCAACGUUUAA